GAAGUUUUAUUUAAUCUAGCAUUUCAUGAUCUGACAACUCAGUAUAAUUUUGACCAUAGACAAUCGAGAGGAUUGCGAAUGCAUGGUGUGACAUGCAUAAUUUAUUGUUACUUUCCUCGUUUAAUACAUGCUGUUAAGGUCCCUAUAGCACCAUGAACACUUGCCAGGGGAACUUUAAUGAAUGAAGUUUUGAUCGUGUAAGAAACACGCAACCAAUCGACAAACGGCAGAUUACAGAAAGAAAUUUGAGUUUGGGAAGGGUCAGGUGUGUGGUAGCAUGGUACAUGUGAUUUGAAUGCAUACGUUUGGAUCUCUUCACACGUCAUCGCUUUACUACUUUUCAUCAAAGGCACCAAUUCGACCUGCAAACACUUGCGCGCAGCAUCAAUCCACUUUUUACCAUCCAGAGUAAACUUAUUGUACAUUUUACCAUACUCUUCACAGUAAUGCUCGGCAAAACCAAUAGCAUAAGGAUAAGAGGUGUGUUGGCAAGGGAAGUGUCUCUCGAAACAUUGACGAUACCAAUCACAGGUAUCACCACUUGGAUUGUAACACUCGGCUGGAAGGUUGUCUUCAUCUGCAAAGUGCUCUGCCUGAACAAUUGCCCCAGAAACUGCGGCCACAAGUUUGAUGAAGAACAACAACGCCAAAAAACAUCGACAGUUCAUCUUGCCACUGACUCAGUAUAGGCUUUAAUUUAGCCGUUCCUAUUCAAACAGUAUUAUAUAAGCUCAAAAAAAUAUGCAUCAUAAAGUUUACACAGUACAAGAUUGUCUCUUUUGAAAGUU